GACGAACGCUGGCGGUGUGCUUAACACAUGCAAGUGGAGCGACGAACCAGGGCUUGCCCUGGGGCAGAGCCGCGAACGGGUGAGUAACACGUGGGUAACCUACCCCGAUGACCGGGACAACCCGAGGAAACUCGGGCUAAUACCGGAUGUUGUCGUUUUCUCUAAGGAAACCGACUAAAGAUAGCUUCGGCCUUCGCAUCGGGACGGGCCCGCGGCCCAUUAGCUUGUUGGUGGGGUAACGGCCUACCAAGGCGACGAUGGGUAGCUGGUCUGGGAGGACGAUCAGCCACACUGGGACUGAGACACGGCCCAGACUCCUACGGGAGGCAGCAGUGGGGAAUCUUGCGCAAUGGGCGAAAGCCUGACGCAGCAACGCCGCGUGGGGGAAGAAGGCCUUCGGGUUGUAAACCCCUUUCAGUUGGGACGAAGCUUCCAGAGUUAAUAGCUUUGUGGAGUGACGGUACCUUCAGAAGAAGCCCCGGCUAACUACGUGCCAGCCGCCGCAGUAAAAC
rnacentral:rRNA from 1 species